GACGAACGCUGGCGGCGUGCUUAACACAUGCAAGUCGAACGGAAAGGCCCUGCUUUUGUGGGGUGCUCGAGUGGCGAACGGGUGAGUAACACGUGAGUAACCUGCCCUUGACUUUGGGAUAACUUCAGGAAACUGGGGCUAAUACCGGAUAGGAGCUCCUGCUGCAUGGUGGGGGUUGGAAAGUUUCGGCGGUUGGGGAUGGACUCGAGGCUUAUCAGCUUGUUGGUGGGGUAGUGGCUUACCAAGGCUUUGACGGGUAGCCGGCCUGGGAGGGUGACCGGCCACAUUGGGACUGAGGGACGGCCCAGACUCCUACGGGAGGCAGCAGUGGAGAAUAUUGCACAAUGGGCGGAAGCCUGAUGCAGCAACGCCGCGUGCGGGAUGACGGCCUUCGGGUUGUAAACCGCUUUCGCCUGUGACGAAGCGUGAGUGACGGUAAUGGGUAAAGAAGCACCGGCUAACUACGUG
rnacentral:rRNA from 1 species